rnacentral:rRNA from 1 species
GACGAACGCUGGCGGCGUGCUUAACACAUGCAAGUCGAGCGGUAAGGCCCUUUCGGGGGUACACGAGCGGCGAACGGGUGAGUAACACGUGGGUGACCUGCCCUCAGCUCUGGGAUAAGCCUGGGAAACCGGGUCUAAUACCGGAUAUGACUCCAUGACGCAUGUUGUGGGGUGGAAAGCCUUGUGCGGCUGAGGAUGGGCCCGCGGCCUAUCAGCUUGUUGGUGGGGUGAUGGCCUACCAAGGCGACGACGGGUAGCCGGCCUGAGAGGGCGACCGGCCACACUGGGACUGAGACACGGCCCAGACUCCUACGGGAGGCAGCAGUGGGGAAUCUUGCGCAAUGGGCGAAAGCCCUGACGCAGCGACGCCGCGUGAGGGAUGACGGCCUGGUGUAACU